rnacentral:lncRNA from 13 species
AGAAGUCCCUAGCUGCCUGAAAUAGGAGCUUGCAGUUAAUAGCUUCUUAGGUCUUUCAUUGCUGAUUGGCUGUGAGUUAGAUACGCUAGAGCCUGAGUAAGGGACUUUGAUCCUUUUCCUCCAGAUUAUUUUGAAACAGGGAAUCAACCAGCCUGCCUGUCCCCAAUUGUUCUCUCUCUCUGAACUUUCAGAACUUUCCAUCUGUCCCAACCAUCCCAUAAUUGCAUUGUCUUCUAACACCCCUGCAGAAUCUUGCUUGCGUAGUAGGUAAGGCUGUGUUAACUUGGUUUCCUGUGUGCGAUGCUUGGCUCACCAACUAGAUAGUGAGCUCCUUGAAUAUAGGCCAGUAUCUUCCCAUCUCUGAUGUCUUGCAGAUAUUAUCACACGGUGAAGUCAAGAUGCCAGAGUUUCCAACUGUCAUGUAUCCUGGAAAGGUGCUGCAGUGAGACAUCAUUAGCUGACCUUGUGGGACCACAGAAAGAAGAAAACAGUCAUGCAGGGGACCUCACUUCCUGCCUUUCCCAGCUGAUGUUGUUGGUAUGAGUUUCCUGUUCCUGCUACAGUAUGUUACUGACAAACAUGGUGGUUGAAAACAAUACAAGAUUGUUGUCUUAUAGUUUGGGGGUUAGAGGUCCUAAAAUCAAGGUAUCAGCAAGGCUGCAUUCCUUCUGGAGGCUCUAAGGGAGAACCUGUUUCCCUGCCUUUGCUGGCUACUGUAGGCUGCCAGCACUCCUUGGCUUGUGGCCCCUUCCUCCACCCUCCCAGACAGCAGUGCAGCAUCUUCAAACCUCUGUCGCUGAACUCUGGUUCCUUUGUUACAUCUCCUUUUCAGACUCUGACUUUCUUGUCUCCUUCUUUCCCUUAAAAGCACUCUUUUGAUUAAAUGGGCUCUUCAGGAUGAUUUCCCACCUCAAGAUCCUUAACUGAAUCACAUCUUCAAAGUUCCUUUUGCCAUAAAAGGUCACAAAUUCGUAAGUUUCAGGGAUUAGAACAUGAACUUCUUUGGGAGGCUACUAUUUUGCCUGCUAUACUAUCCUUAAGCCUCUCCUCCUGGGAGGUCUCUCUUUAGACCAUUCAAAAUCCACAUCACAGGAGGCUGAAUCGCUUACCCACUCAGGCCCCAUUUUCUCUCUCAGGAAUUGCUUCUUGCCCUGGUGAAUGACAACUCCCUGCUUCCUGCCCUUGGACACUGCCCUUCCUAUGGGGGUGAAGGCCUUUGCCUGCCUUAUGGAUAACUAUAGAAAGACAAAUGGCAAGGCCAACAUCUAAUCAGCACAAACACACACCUGGCAAAUGGUGUGUCUUUCCUAUCAUCAGCUAAGAUCUCAGCAACAG